GGACGCGCGGGCGGCCGUCCCUCCGCCCGUCCCCCCCGCCAGGCCGGCCAAUCAGCACCGCCGAGGCUCGGGGGCUUGGCCCGGCCGCCCGCAGACCUGGGCCUCGCACCUCGCGCCCGGAUGCCGCUCUCUCCCCGCGCGGUCACCCGUUCCCUGGGAAGCAGAGUGGGCAGCUGUGGCAGAUGGGACUGAUGGGACGAGGACGACGCGUGGAAAUGACUGUGAGGGUGGACAGAGGCCUGGGGGUCUGGAUCUGUCACCAAGGCUGGAGUGCCAGGGCACCACCAUAGCUCACUGCAGCCUCGCUCUCCCAGGCUUAAGUGAUCCUCCUGCUUCAGCUCCUGGAGUAGCUGGGAUUACAGAACUCUGAACGGAGAAGGUGGAAAGGGCCUUCAGCGGAAGUCCAGGUUACUUACUAAAGCGGAAUGGAAGCCAACAGAUACCAGCGUUUAUAUUUUAUUCAACUUUAUUAAAAAUUAAAACUACAGAAACCAAACCGAAUGCACAAAUAAGAGAGUGGGGAAACAGACAGGGAGCAAUGGCAGCUGAUAACUGUGGCGAGUGGAUAAUCCGCAUGACUCACAUCCCACCCCUGCGACUGAGGAGCCCAGAACGCUGCGCUGGCACUGUCGUGCCCUCUUCCACCACAGGGGCACAGAAACCUGCAGGAGACUGAAAACGAUUACAAACAUCUUCAACCAGCUCUCUGGCCAAAGGCAGCAAAAGCAGCCUGAAUACGCAACUCACGCCAAGAGGGCAGCAGCUCUCCUGACAUCCAUGUAAGAAGGCUAACACCUAAACCACACGCAGGCAUCCUGAACUCAGCAGCUCUGAUCCAAGGUACUGAGUGGAGACAAAGCACUCGGAGGUGGCAAGAUGUUCAGCAACCAAGUAAGACACACUGGCAAGGCAUCCCACCCAAAGGUGAGAAGCACAAAGCAGGCUUGGAGAAACAAACAGUCAUGCCAGGUGCAGCCAGACAUCCUGCUAUAAGCCCUGACCCUAGUACCCCGAGUUCAUCAAGUGCUCUGGUUUUGUGUCCAUAAAGCACAGAGGGCACUGACCACCCCAAACCAGAAUCCCAAGGAAUCCUUAUGGAUGGCAUAGGGCCUCAGAACUGCUGCAGGAUCAUUUUCCUUUUCAGGUCGUGGCUGAACUUGUUCAUCCUGAAGAGCUCACUGUCAUAAAAUGCAGAGAGGUUGUGGAUGUUGAUCUGACGAGCCUGCAAGGAGGAAGUGUCCAGUGAGCCAUCAGUGGUGUGAGAACAGGCUGUUUCCAGAGCGCCCCAGUUACAGUGCACUUUCAGACACCAUCACCUCCAUUUAUGGGAGGAAAAUAUCCAGGGGUGGAGAGGCCGAUUAAGGGGCUUCAAAUCUCUGCUGUACAAGCUGUGCGUGUAAACUGAGACAAGUUACUUGGCUGCCCUGUAUCUGUCUCCACCUCUGCACAACAGGAAGGCAGUAACAGGACUCACCUCACUCCCCUGCUGUCAGACUACAGGCACAGAACUGGACUCAACAGACUGUAAGCAUUCAAUAAAUGGCUGUCAACCAAGGCCCACCCACUUCAUGACCCAUUAUGAUGGAGCCCCCAUCAGGAGACUGGCAGCUCCCAAGUCAGCAUACCCCAACCCUCACCUCCCUUCCGGGCCCAUACCUUAUCCACCAAGUCCUUCUCAGGGACCUCAAUAGUGUCCUGCUGGGCCCCAAAGCGGUUGCGCUGAUAUGUCACCUGCUCUGCCACUAACUGCUUCAGUAUGAAGAGCAACAGCUCAUUGUUGUCACGCCGGAAUGAAAGGUAGCGGGCAAAAGUCUGCAGGAAAAAAGCCUCAGUCAAACACCCGCUCCCACUACGCCUGCCACACUCCCUUUACCCUACGUGCCAGCACCCAGGUCAGACAGGCUGCCGCUCCUGGGUGCACGUCCAGGCCAGAGCCCUGGAUACCCACGUGUGGCCUCCUUCACUGAGCUUGCCCAUCAGGCCCCUACCUCGGAGCACACCCACCUUGCGCAUGCUGCGCAUGACGCUGAACUUCUGUGUGUCUAUGAAGCUCUCCAGCAUCACGCGGAUGGCCAUGUUGACGUCGUCUUCGAUCACAUAGUCCCGCAGAUGGAUGCGCGCGUGGGCCUCCGCCAUGCGGAUCAUGGACUCGAUGUGCCGCACCGUAAUGGGGAUGCUGCCUGUCGCCUGGAGAGAAGCACAGUGUCAGGUCUUUCACGGGCAGGAAAGAGAAGCAAGGAAAAUAAAGCAGCGGCACUCUUAGCACCCAGAGCCAAGAAGACCCAUCUGACAGUGCCCCAGCAGAAAUGCAGAAUGCUUGACUGCGCUGCCCAGUGAAUGCACACUUCCUAUCCCUCCUGGAAAUCAGAGGAUGCCAGUGGAUGCUGCAUGCUUACGGCCUGUCACCAUCACACCUGCACAGUUCUGCUCCCACCAGCUGACUUCUGUGCAUCUCAGAGGCUGUUGUAUUUGUGGCCAGCUGUAUUGGUUAUUGUCACACACUAAAUAUUGAAUAAUCCUGUACAAUGUAAGUGCAAAAAAAGGUCGUUGUUUGUAGGAAAACUAAAUUGAAUGAUCUGAAAAAACUUGGUAAAGUUAAAAGGCAGAAAUUUGAAAAGCUGCUGUGUUGACUGGGUGUGGCUGAGGCAGCAAUCUACAAGGACUCGGCAUUCCCAUGGCUUGCAAGCUGCUUUAAGUUUCCAUUCCACUAUGAAUGAGCCAAAGACCUUGUGUUCAUUAGAGUGAAAUUUACACAAAGUCAAUAUGGAACUUAAUAAGC
ensembl:lncRNA Novel transcript, antisense to MCM2